GAUCAUGGCUCAGGAUGAACGCUAGCUACAGGCUUAACACAUGCAAGUCGAGGGGCAGCAUGUUGGUUGCUUGCAACCAAUGAUGGCGACCGGCGCACGGGUGAGUAACGCGUAUCCAACCUACCCUUGUCCAUCGGAUAACCCGUCGAAAGGCGGCCUAACACGAUAUGCGGUUCACAGCAUGCAUCUAACGUGAACGAAAUGUGAAGGGAGAAGGAUGGGGAUGCG
rnacentral:rRNA from 1 species